rnacentral:lncRNA from 1 species
GCGGGUCCCAGCGCCCAUCGGCCCGGGGUCCGAGGGGCCCGCUGCCCGGGCUCGCUGCGUGGUGCUACCGCCCCCGGGCCCGCUGCGCCGCGUCGGAGCCCCAGCAGACUUUGAGAGGCGUGUGCGACAGUGCGCGUCCUCUCCUGCCUCUGGAUGUUUCCUUGGAGCCUCUGGCCUUCGGGAAGACCGGUAAACGUCCCUGUGGAGCCAGCCAGCCAGCCACCUCUGACCCCCGGGCUCAAGCAGCCAGCCGCGUGCUCCCUCCUCCCACUUGGUACCCGGACAGAACAGUCCCUACCUUGCUCUUCUCCCGCCGGCUCGUCACUUUAGGCUCCCUCCAGAUUCCGCGUUCCUUGAGCAAAUGGCUCACCCCUGACGAAUCCGGCCUUAAAAAAGUCCCGGCCUUGAAAGGGGUGGAGACUGGCGGGCGGGAGCGAAAGGAGGUCAGACCCAUGGCUGGGGUCGCACACGCAUCACCUGAGGUCGGAGAGGAGGGGAGCCUCACUUCCUCUGACCCACUGAGCCUGGUGGCAGCGUGCGGAGAGAUGUCACCAUCCCGGACUAAAUGAAAUCCAACUUUCCCUGACGCACCUUGUGGGAUCAAAGAGGGGUGUUCCCAUGCUCACCUUUCGCCACUUCCUCCCUGGGGUAUCUCCACCUCUCCAACACAAGCUCAAUGCCAGUUCUCUUUGGGAUGUUUUUGUGCAGGGGGUGUGACCUCCCUCAUAAAGGAACCCCCACUCCCAAGUUUUCCCCUCUUGUCAGUGGAACCUGUGACCAACGGUUCCUUCCUGUCCUUUUCCUCCCUGAAAGUAGCCCGGGGGCAUUCGAACAUGGCUCUAGACCCCUGAAUAGGGUUUGGAGCGGAGAUGUGCCUGGGGAGAAGAGAUCGCAGUGCUGUGUAUGAAGCUUUGGGCACGUGCUCACAAGAGCACACACAGCAACCUGAGCAGGUCAUUCCUUUUGAUAAGGAUGACAAAUACACAUACCAAACCCUGUUCCCCUCACCCACCCCAAACCAGUACCCCCAGGAUGAUUCCAGAUCAGCUCUGGAGCAUUUGCAUCAAGGGCCUGCAGACUCACAGGACCUACUAGAGCAAAAUAUCAGUGUCUCAGACCCCAGUUUUGGCCUCAAAUACUGGGUUUUUCUGCCAGGAGAAGUAGCUGCUAGUCUAGGAAAUGCUGGGACUUGUCCAGAAAGAUGAGGUUUGUGAAUACGGGGUGUGGGGUUGGGUGGGGAAUUAAGGCUGAUGUAUCUGGAGGAACUUUGGUUGGGCUGGAGGCAACUUCUGCCCUGUUCUAUUCAACAGUUCCCUCCCCUCCACUACCCCAUUUAAUCUGGCCACAGCUCAGCUACCUGUGUAUAAAAUCUUGAUCUCUCUCCUAUUUCCUUUCUACCUUCCGUGUUUUUACUUACUCGAAAACUGUUCCCCUCUCCUGUGUGUAUUUUUUUAAUUGAAAUAUACCAGGCAUUUAGGAAAGGAACACGAAACCUAAGUGUACAGGUCAACAAAUGAUGACACAGUGAACACCCCCAUAUGACCACCAUCCAGAUCUAGAACGAGAUCAUUAUUGGCAUCCCAGAUACCCUCCUUCUAUCCGCUCCUGGUGACUAUGCCACACUCCUUCUCAAAAGUAACGUUUAUCUAACACUACAGGUUAGUUUUGCUUACUUCUGAACUUUAUAUACAUGGAACCAUUCAGUAGGUAUUAUUUUGUGUCUGGCUUCUCUCACUCAAUACUAUGUUUAUGAAACUCAUCCAAAACAUUGUGGUAGCAGUAGCUUAUUUGUUUUCAUUGCCGUACGGUAUGCCAUUAAAUAAAUAUACCACAAUUUAUCUGUUAUUCUGUUGACGGACAUUUUGGUUGUUCCUACUUUGGGGUUAUUAUGAAUAAGGCUGCGAUAACGUUUUUGUUCAUGUCCUUUGGUACACUUACGUUCAUAUUUAUACUAGAUAUAUACCUAGGAAUAGAAUUACUGGGUCAUAAAAGGAUAUGCAUAUUUUUAGCUUUAGCAAAUGCGACUAAACAAUUUUUCAAAGUGCUCAUAUUAAUUUACACUCCUGCCAGCAGCGUCUUAGUGUUCCAGUUGCUCUAUAUUCUCAUUAACACUUGAUAUUGUCAAUCUAGAAAAAUUAAAAAAUUUAGCCAUUCUGGUGGGUGUAUAGUGGUAUUGUAGUUUAAAUUUGCUUUAUCCUGAUAACCAAUGAAGUUGACCACCUUUCCAUGCAUUUAUUUGACCCUUGGAUAUCUGUUCAAGUAUCAUGUCCAUUUUCUAUUAUUCUAUUCCUUCUGUCUUACUACUUUUUUUUUUUUUUUUUGAGAUGGUAUCUUGCUCUGUUGCCUAGGCUGGAACCUCUUGGGUUCAAGUGAUUCUCCUGCCUCAGUCUCCUGAGUAGCUGGGACUACAGGCACAUGCCACCAUGACAGGCUAAUUUUUGUAUUUUUGAUAGAGACAGCGUUUCACCAUGUUGGCCAGGCUGGUCUCUAACUCCUGACCUCAAGUGAUCCGCCCGCCUUGGCCUCCCAAAGUGCUGGGAUUAUAGGUGUGAACCACUGAGCCCAGCCCUGUCUUACCACUUUGUAGGAGUUCUUUAUGAAUAUCAGAUACGAGUCCUUUGUUGGUUAUAGGUAUUGCAAAUAUUUCUAUGAGUAAAUAAAUACAAAAGCCCUUGGUUUUGGUGUCUUCUGAAGUGUCAGGGCCACUGGAACAAGAAUAUAAUCUCUAUAUCUAUUUUGAUCACUAGUGUAAACCCAGCUCCUGGCACAUAGUAGGUACUUAAUAAAUAUGUUGAAUGAAUGAUGGAUGAGGUGGAUAAAGCUGAUGUAGGUACUUUGCUCUGUAUUGUGCUGAUCCCUAGAGUCAAACACCAAGAGGACCUGGGGGAAGCAGAUUUCCUCUGGCUUAGCCAGCUGUGACCUUAGGAAGAGGAAGACAUCCUGGCCCUUCUCUACUGAAAGAGCAGAAAUAGCUACAGUCUGUGAAAUGAUGAGCACAGAUGUAGGGAGCGGAGGUCACAGAUGAAAAGACAGGAACUACCAGCAAGUAGCAGGCCAGCCAGAUACUUCAGAAGGAGAGACGCAGUUGGGGGUAUCAAAAAGAUAGUGAGGGUCUCUGAGCAUCACUGUGGACCUUUGUAUGACAAGAACCUCCAAAGGUCAUGUGGACUCUCUCUUGCCUCAAGACAUGCCCAGUCUUUGAGCUUGUUAGCCAAGAGAGCUCUUCCACACCUAGAAACACAUUUCUUUCUCCAAAGGAGGUUCCCUGAAACUUUGGUUGGAGGGUCUUAUUCCUAACCUGCAUUGGGCAACUCUUUUUUUAAAAUCAGCUUUAACUUCCUCAUGGCCUGUAAUGUCCAUCCUGAAUAUGGAAGACCACCGAAUCAGCCUCUUCUCCAUGCACUGUUUUCAUAGGCCUGUUGCAUUCUACAGCGUUUUUCUCUUGCUGUGUUUCUCUCCAGCAUCCUUGACCAGCUCUGGUCAAGAGUCUCACUGAUUCCUGUUACUCUGGGAGACAGAAAUUUCCCCUUGCACCACCCUAACAAACUCACAGCAUCCCCUCCUCAUGUCUUUCAGAACAUAAUGUGGCAUUUAACUAGAAGCUAGUAGUAGCACCCCAAAUUUUUAUAUAAACUGAGCUUGGGGACGCCAUCUAGUUGGAGAGAGGCUGGGUGACUUGUCAUGAAACAUCAUUUGUAUAGCAAGCACAGUGUUUUC